AUUGAACGCUGGCGGCAUGCCUUACACAUGCAAGUCGAACGGCAGCACGGGAGCAAUCCUGGUGGCGAGUGGCGAACGGGUGAGUAAUAUAUCGGAACGUGCCCGGUCGUGGGGAUAACGUAGCGAAAGCUACGCUAAUACCGCAUACGAUCUACGGAUGAAAGCGGGGGAUCGCAAGACCUCGCGCGAUUGGAGCGGCCGAUAUCAGAUUAGGUAGUUGGUGAGGUAAAGGCUCACCAAGCCGACGAUCUGUAGCUGGUCUGAGAGGACGACCAGCCACACUGGGACUGAGACACGGCCCAGACUCCUACGGAGGCAGCAGUGGGGAAUUUUGGGACAAUGGGCGCAAGCCUGAUCCAGCAAUGCCGCGUGCAGGAUGAAGGCCU
rnacentral:rRNA from 1 species